UUUUAGGCUCUGUUUUUGCAAUGGCUGUGCUAUACUGGGCUUAGUCUUCUGCAGAUUGCUUUCAGCCUGUGCUGAGGGUGUUAUUAUGAGACCUGAGUUUGCUGUAAACUAUUAAAUGUUUUGGAGGAAACCUCAAAUUAGAGAAGUGGAGAAAGGAGUGAUGUCUGUGGCUUUAGAUCCAGGAUGACAAGAUCUGCUAUUCUUUGUUUUUUCUACAGAAAUGAUGGUGUUUCCCUGGGAAAAUUGUUGGGGAAGAUUAAGUUUGAAUACACUUGGGAAAUUUGCUGCAAUCAAGAGGCUGAAGGAUGAGCACCAGUGGGCAGGCCAUGUACUGAGGUGAAUCUAGAACUGGACUGGUGCUCAGAAGACUGUGGUUAUAAUCCUGGUAGCCACAAUACAGAGGGAUCCUUUUGGAAAUUUGGUGACAUCUCUGCUACAUUCAGAGUUGAGAGACCCUUGCCUGAUUCAGUGUGAUUCAUUUGAACUUUCCCCAAAUCAGGUGAAACAAGGCCACAAAAGAAUGGUAUAUUACAGAUUUACAAACACAGAGAGAAUCUUUCAAACUGAACUGUAGUUAACCCUGGCUCUGUGAAGAAACUUCACCACGUCACAAUGGUGAG